rnacentral:lncRNA from 1 species
AGAAGGAAGAGAGGAAAAAGAAAAGGAGGAAGGGAAACAAGAAAGGAAGAGAGAGAUGGAGGGUAAAAGAGAUUCGGGGAUUGAUCUGAUGGUGCACAGGUUACGGUCAAAGUGGCACAGUGUUGGAAUAAAGAUUGACGGCGGGAACGACGGAAUCACUGGGAAGACUGGAUUUGGGAGCUCAAGCGGCGAAAAGAUUUUGAAAAUGAUUUUUAGCGAGUGAUUUAAUUUGGUGAAUUUUAGGGACGUUACAAACCUACCCCACUUAAACUGAAUCUCAUCCUUGAGAUUCGGCUGAAUUCUGAAGAGAUGAGGAAACUCUUUCUUUAAAGCACCUUUGCAUUCCCAUGUGGCUUCUUUUUCACUAUGCCUACUCCAUUGAACUCUGCAAAUCCACACCACUGAAUUUUUUAUCCUCUUGGUGACAAUGUCUAUGAUCUUGACGGGAAUACCGAAGAUCCUUCUGCAGGUCUAUUGUUUCCACUGGUACUUGCUCUUCUAGGACUCUCAAACAUUUCCUCAGCUAGGAGACAUGGAACACCGGGUGUAUAUCUAACAUUUCUUCGGGCUGCUGAAUGCAGUAUUCCAUUGCUCCAAUUCUCUUCAGCACCAGGUACGGUCCAAUAUACCGAGGGGCUAAUUUUCCUUGGACCUAAAACCUUUGAGUCCCUCGGAUCGGUGAGACCUUGAGAUAAUGAAGUCUCCUACAUUGAAACUCAACUCUCAUCUCCUCUUGUCCGAGUAGCUUUUCUGCCUGGACUAUGCUGCCUUCAGCUUUUCUCUGAUUUCGACCACUCGGUCUUCCACGUCUUUUAUAAAGGCUGGUCCAACUAAGGUGCGUUCUCCCACUUCUGACCACAUCAAAGGGGUUCUGCAUUUUCUUCCGUAGAGAGCCUCAAAUGGAGACAUGCCUAAACUGGCCUGAUACCUGUUGUUGUAUGAGAACUCUGCAUAGGGUAAACUCUGCUCCCAGUCCUUGCCAUAGGUAAGGACACAAGCUCUCAACAUAUCUUCAAUUAUUUGAUUCACCCUUUCUAUUUGACCAUCAGUCUGUGGGUGAUAAGCCAAACUAAAAUCCAACUUGGUUCCCAUGGCUUUAUGCAGACUUUUCCAAAACCUAGAGGUAAAUUGGGUACCUCUAUCCAAAAUAAUUCUGCUAGGUACACUAUGCAGCUUCACUAUGUUGUUCACAUAGAGCUGAGCCAAUUUUUCUCCACCAUAAUUGGUCCGUACGGGUAAGAAGUGAGCGACCUUAGUGAGUCGGUCCACUAUUACCCAUAUGGAGUCAUUUCCCUUCCUAGUCUUGGGCAAACCAACCACAAAAUCCAUACCAAUUUUAUGGUGGCUAUCCAACUGGGUUUUAAGCAGUAAAACAAUAUGCAAUUUAUAAAAACAGCCAAUAGGUUGUGUCUAUAAAACUGGGUUAAAUAUGCAUCAAAGGGUGAGAUUGGGCUUGCCAUCCUAAAAGCCUUCCGGGAGUUCCUGCUCGUGGUAUGGGUCCUCGGGCUUCGGCUCGCGGUACUGGCCUCCAAGCUCCUCUUCAGGCUCCUCCUCCUUGGUUACUCCAUUAACUGCGGCACACACAAGCAAAAAUAAACAAAAAGAAAGAGGUUUUUAGAACCGUACAUUGAGCUCGAGGAGAGAGAGAGAGAGAGAGCUAGAAAGAGCUAGAAAGGGUGUUCAUUAGGGAGAUGGUAGGCAAUUGAGUAUAAAUAUAUUUAGAAAUGUUGUGGUCGAAUUUGGGAAUCACGGGAGGUGUUUAGGCGCAUAAAAUGUCGGCGAACUGUGAUUUGGGGCAUAAAAUAAAGGGUCCAUGGACCUCUUUGUUAGAAAAGUGCGAGAUGGCGGAGGGGCUCCUGGAGAAAAAAGGAAAAGGAGGGGGGUCUAGGUGCAAAUAGGGAUAAGGGGAGGGGUAAAAGGCAAUUUUGACUUCUCCUUCUCAAAAUAGAGGAGGGAAGGGGGGAUGCCGGGCCGGGGGCGGUCGGCGGGGUGGCAGUGCUUGCCGGUGCGGCGAUGCCCACCCGUGGCCGGGGAGAGGGGGAAAAGGGAGAGAAGUGAGAGGAGAACCCAUUCCUCCCCUCACCUUGGGUGAAGGAGGUGUGGCACGGCGGCUGCCAGCCGGAACCUGGGAGGCAGCGGUGUUCUGGUGGCGGGGAACUAGACGGCGGUGGCACUCUGGCGGCGAGGGAGAGGGAGGUGGGCUGGCGAGCUCGAGGAGGCGUCGGAGUCCCCUUUUAUAGGUCAGAGGGAAGGGGGUGGCGACAGGCGGCGCAAGGGUGGCGGCGGUAGGGGCCAGCUUGGCCGGCGAGCGGUGCGGCGGAGUGGUGGCGUGCGAGCGUGGGUGGUAGGGGCCAGGCAUGGGCGGGGCGGUUGGUGGUGCUGGCGGGAGUGGUGCAGCAGCGUGGCACGCAUGGUGUGCACACGCAAGUGGGGCUGGAAGGGCACGCUGGUGGGUGGGCGAGCAGGGCGAGGGGCUGGGUUGGCACGCAGCGUGGCAAGGGUGGGGCACGCUGGCGCGCGGCGUGCUUUCGUGCAGCGCAGUAGGGGCCGAGGCAAGGCGCGCGCGGUGCGUGGCCAAGGCGCGGUAGGGGCUGGAGUGGGGCUCGCUGGCAUGCGGCGUGGCCAGGGCGCUAGUGCGGCCCGAGGUGCGGGGGGGCAAGGUGUGGCAUGGGCUCUGGCGUGUGCGUGGAGAAGAAGGAAGAGAGGAAAAGAAAAGGAGGAAGGGAAAGAAGAAAGGAAGAGAGAGAUGGGGGGUAUAAGAGAUUCGGGGAUUGAUCUGAUGGUGCACAGGGUACGGUCAAAGUCGCAUGGCGAUGGAAUAAAGAGAGAUGGCGGGAACGACGGAAUCGCCAGGAAGACGGGAUUUGGGAUCUCAAGCAGUGAAAAUAUUUUGAAAAUGAUUUUUAGCAAGUGAUUUAAUUUGGUGAAUUUUAGGGACGUUACACCGGUCAUCGAGUAGGUGAUCACAUUGAAGAUGAUCUAGAACCUAGUGUUGUUAUUCAUAGCAACACAUCUGGAUCGAUGGUGGACCUUGCUAGCGCAAGAGCAACUCAGACAGUAGAGGUGGUAGCUAAGGCUGGCGAUGAUCUUGCUACGACCAUGCAAGCCAUGCCAAAGGGACCAUCUCCUACCAUC